GGCGCUAUAGUGUAGUGGUUAUCACUUGGGAUUCUGAUAUAACUCGUCGACAUCUUUCCCAGAACCCAGGUUCGAUCCCUGGUAGCGCCU
rnacentral:tRNA from 1 species